rnacentral:rRNA from 1 species
UACAGAGGUCCCAAGCGUUGUUCGGAUUCAUUGGGCGUAAAGGGUGCGUAGCGGUGCCGUAAGUCGGAUGUGAAAUCUCGGGGCUCAACCCUGAAACUGCAUUCGAUACUGCGGUGCUAGAGGACUCUAGAGGAAACUGGAAUUCACGGUGUAGCAGUGAAAUGCGUAGAUAUCGUGAGGAAGACCAGUGGCGAAGGCGGGUUUCUGGAGAGUUCCGUGACGCUGAGGCACGAAGGCCAGGGGAGCAAACGGG